rnacentral:snRNA from 1 species
GUGCUGGCUUCGGCAGCACAUAUACUAAAAUUGGAACAUACAGAGAAGAUUAGCAUGGCCCCUGUGCAGGGAUGACAUGCAAAUUCAUGAAGCGCUCCAUACUAAA